AUUGAACGCUGGCGGCAGGCCUAACACAUGCAAGUCGAACGGUAACAGAAAGCAGCUUGCUGCUUUGCUGACGAGUGGCGGACGGGUGAGUAAUGUCUGGGAAACUGCCUGAUGGAGGGGGAUAACUACUGGAAACGGUAGCUAAUACCGCAUAACGUCGCAAGUCCAAAGAGGGGGACCUUCGGGCCUCUUGCCAUCGGAUGUGCCCAGAUGGGAUUAGCUAGUAGGUGGGGUAAAGGCUCACCUAGGCGACGAUCCCUAGCUGGUCUGAGAGGAUGACCAGCCACACUGGAACUGAGACACGGUCCAGACUCCUACGGGAGGCAGCAGUGGGGAAUAUUGCACAAUGGGCGCAAGCCUGAUGCAGCCAUGCCGCGUGUAUGAAGAAGGCCUUCGGGUUGUAAAGUACUUUCAGCGGGGAGGAAGGGAGUAAAGUUAAUACCUUUGCUCAUUGACGUUACCCGCAGAAGAAGCACCGGCUAACUCCGUG
rnacentral:rRNA from 1 species